rnacentral:rRNA from 1 species
GGUUGACCUCGGAUCAGGUAGGAAUACGCGCUG